rnacentral:rRNA from 1 species
UAGCAAUACCUAGUGGCGGACGGGUGAGUAAGACCUAGGUAACCUGCCCUUCAGUGGGGGAUACCCAGCCGAAAGGUUGGCUAAUACCGCAUUCGCUCUACAUCUGGAACGGUGUAGAGGAAAGAUUUAUCGCUGAAGGAGGGGCCUAGGCCCGAUUAGCUAGUUGGUGAGGUAAUGGCUCACCAAGGCGACGAUCGGUAGCUGGUCUGAGAGGACGAUCAGCCACACUGGAACUGAGACACGGUCCAGACUCCUACGGGAGGCAGCAGUGGGGAAUUUUCCGCAAUGGGCGAAAGCCUGACGGAGCAACGCCGCGUGGAUGAUGAAGUCUUUCGGG